UGCAACUCGACUCCAUGAAGCUGGAUUCGCUAGUAAUCGCGCAUCAGCCAUGGCGCGGUGAAUACGUUCCCGGGCCUUGUACACACCGCCCGUCAAGCCAUGGGAGCCGGGGGUGCCUGAAGUUCGUGACCGCAAGGAUCGACCUAGGGCAAAACCGGUGACUGGGGCUAAGUCGUAACAAGGUAUC
rnacentral:rRNA from 1 species